AAUAGGGAUCAAAAUAUGAUCCGAGUAAUAGUUAACAGCUCCUGAAGUAAACAACCGUUUUUAUUAUUAAUAAGGGCCUAAGGCCUUCUCUAAUGCAAAACAUACAUUGUCAUAGUUUGGUUGGUUUAAUCACAACAGCAAGUGGUGAAUUGUUUUAAUGUUUAAUAUCUUAUUAUUAAAUCCAUUGCGUGCUAGAUUCAAAUUUUCUUUGAGAUUAGAGCAUUUUCAGUAAUAGGUUGGGCACGAUUUGGAUGGACCGGAUUUUUUAAAGGUUGAAGCUAAAACUUUGAGUGUUAAUAAUUUUUAUUCAUAAAAAAAAAAAAAAAAAAAAAAGCGAAAGAGACUCUGAAAGUGAUUCUCAAUAAACUCUCCAUCGGCUGAUGUUUUUUUGGAUAAUAUUUGGCUGAUAAUAUAUACACAGUCUUACUUUUGAAUGACUCUUUGGCUUUUCUCAAAAAACAAAAAAAACAAAAAACCAAGAAGGGAAAGGAAAAAGUAAAUCCUUGUUAUGAACUCUUCCGUUCCGAAUAUCUUUUACUUUAGUUUACCCCAAAAGGGGGGCUGGGAUUUGAUCAAGGUGCAAAACAAUUGUAGGGGGAAAGGAAGCCUCCCCAGAAAAAUGGUAAUGCCAUGCGGCGUCACUGUUUGGAUGGCAAAGGUGGUGUGGUUGGCCCUCACCUGCUUGAUUUCGUCUUGCUUAGCCGUUGCCGAUGAAGUCGCCGGCUCCCUUAGAACCGGAGAUUUUGGCCCUUUGCAUGUUGGCUGAUUGAUUGUCACCGGACUCACCACUCUUAUGCUCUCUGAUGAUUAAAAUCCGUAAAUAACGGUGAAGGGACGGUGGGUGCAUGGCCUGGACAUUCAGAGCUGCUAAUUUUAUACUGUGAAUACUGUAAAUACUGUGAGUAUAUUUCUUUUUUACGAUGGAAUUGUGAUCUGUUUCAUAUUAAAUACAAAAUCAUAGUUAGGGAUUUUGUAUUUUUCUCUUCUUUUUUUUUGUUUCAUAUUAAAUACCAAAGUCAUACUGGGGUUUGUGCUUUGUACUGGAAAGUUGUAUAUUUCUGGUUUGUGUUUGGAAAUCAAUAAGAUUGUUGGGUGCUAGGCUUUAAAACCAAGUCUCGUGCUCGGCAACAUUGUUACCAAAUUUCCUAAGCUCAAACCAUAGUUUUAUGCUAAUUUGAUGGCUACGCAACGUUUUUCUU